rnacentral:rRNA from 1 species
CAGUAGCCACGGUAAUACGUAGGUGGCAAGCGUUGUCCGGAAUUAUUGGGCGUAAAGGGCUCGCAGGCGGUUUCUUAAGUCUGAUGUGAAAGCCCCCGGCUCAACCGGGGAGGGUCAUUGGAAACCGGGAAACUUGAGUGCAGAAGAGGAGAGUGGAAUUCCACGUGUAGCGGUGAAAUGCGUAGAGAUGUGGAGGAACACCAGUGGCGAAGGCGACUCUCUGGUCUGUAACUGACGCUGAGGAGCGAAAGCGUGGGGAGCGAACAGGAUUAGAUACCCGUGUAGUCCCUGUCUCUUAUAC